GUGCACCGACCCCCAUAGCCACAACCACCGCCAAUACCCAUAUCAUCCACGACCCAUUUGGCGUAACUGCCACAAUAUUGCAUAGCACGAAGAUCUUGAAUGAAGUUUGCCUGCCUAAUAAGGCUUCUCCAGUGACUUGGUUAGAACCUCCAGGAGGGUUUAUGCCAGCAGCUAAUGUGACAGUUGAUACUAAAACAGCCACAACAGUGAUUGUUUUGCGUGCAUUACGUACACCUUCGUCCUGGAGCAAUUUUUUUUUGGGAAAGAUGGUGACUUUGGCUGCGAUGAUGAGUCAUUGAAGAUGCUGGCAUUUUCUCUUGUAAUUGGAUUUCUGGUGAAGGUAAUGGCAACACAUGGCUGUGCUUCCCACCUACUUCUAGUAAUAGGAACAAACUCGAAAGAGUACUAGAACUCUCAGUGGACUCAAGUAGGUCCAGAGCAAUCUAUUUGUCGUGGUUUAUCGCAUUUACAUCUACGCCAAGCUUCAACAGGUACAUAAUCAUAUUAGUUAGUUUUCCAGUAACCGCAAGAUGCAAAAUUGUAUUACCAUUGUUGUCAGGCUUAUUAAGUAGAUCUGUAAUGUUGAUUGCCUCUGUGAGGAAUUUAACAGCUUCAUAUUGCUUGUUUUUCACUGCUAGAUGAACUGUUUCUCCAUGCUUAGUUGUCAUCUGGGCACCUUCAAGAUUCACCAAAAGGAUCUCCUCAAUGACAUUUAUUCUCCCCCUGAUUGCAGCCCAAUGGAGGGGCUUUCGGUCAUUGGCGUCUUUCAAGGAAGAGAGGUCGGUGUCAGGCCUCAAUGAGCCCUGGUUAUUUCAAGGUGGCCUUUGCUGCAAGAUAGGUGCAAAGGUGUGUAUCCAUGGAAGUCCCCUUUAAAUGCAAAGUCUGGGUGUAUCUUCAAGAUUUCCCUCACAGAGUCGGCAAGUAACCCGAUUUUGGUCAUAUCCAUGGAAGAAAAUAUUCCUCGAUUAAGUUCAACUACUGAAAGGCAUAAUUUAUUUUUUACAUAAUUUACCAAACAGGAACUAUAGGACCACCACUACAAACAUUUGGUUAUAAUAAUUUUAGUCUUAAUUUUAUCAAUAAUCACAAAAUUUGUAGCUUGAUUCAUUGUAGUCAAUGACUUUUAACCUCUUGUUUGAACAAUGUAUUCCACCAAACACCUCAACCACCUGCAGGAAAACCUGGGACAACCCACUAGCUACUCUGCCAUUGAAACAAAUCCUCCCAUUGAAGCCCUUAGCAGUUGGCAGCCACAACAUAACAGAUCGAAAAUUGUACUACCCAAAGCUAAAAGGACGUAAAACCCAUAUGAGGGAAGUGAGUUUUACUUAGACUCUUUGAAUUGCAUUUAAUUCCACUACAAUUUUUUUGCGAUGGAAAUUGGCUAGUUAAUCUCUCUAAAGUAGUAGCAGUAGUAGUAGAAUUACCUGUAUGCCCUGUUGAAGCUGCAUCAACUUCUAAUUCAAACAGAUCACAUUUUAAGAGAUACUUCACCACAUCAAGCAUCCCUCUUUCACAAGCCAGAAAGAGAACUUUCAAUUUCUCUAUUCACCAUGUAAACCACCCAAGGAUCCAUCUCCACCAAGAACUUCACCAUCUCCAAACUUCCUUGUCUGCAGGCCUCAUGCAAUGGGGUCUCCAUCUUCUCAUUCACUGCAGCCACCAUCUCCGGCCUCAGCUUCACAAUCUCAUUGGCCCCACCCUCCCAAAUGGAGCUGCAAAGUGGAAAAUGGUGUUCAUGAACCCUUGAAUGGUUUGGUUAAUGAUGCUUUCAUUUUCUUGAAUGAUUGCAUGAAAAGCAAGUGUAUCUCCUUUUAUGAUGGUUUCACAGAGCCGUUGGUCCAUUACUGGUUGGUUGACAGGCGCUGGAGUUGCAGGGAUGACCU
rnacentral:misc_RNA from 1 species